rnacentral:lncRNA from 1 species
CGAGUUGAGGAAUACUGUGCCCCUGGGUGUUUAAAAAAAUGCUUUAUCUUUCAUCAUGAUAGCUCUAGCUUGUGUGGGUUAUUGUGAAGGCUCCUUCUAGAUUUAGGUUCUUGCUACCUGUGCCCGAGUUUAUCAGUAGGGUAUUCAGGGUCCCAGCGGCAGGAUGACAAAGCAGCAUCCUGCCCGGCAUCCCAGCGACUGGGUCUAACCGGCAGGAGAUUAUUGAUGCGUUUCCUUCUGCCUGUUUACACACUCCUAUGAGCUGCACUUUCAAUUAGCUCAGACAGUCGGGGGAUAAAUUGUGAAAUAAAAUGGGAAAAUCAGACCCCAAGAGACUUUUACAGGCUUUGUGCUGUAGAUAAAAACUAGGUAUUUAUUUGCUAAUUUAUUUCAGGGGGAAGAGAAAUGUCACAUGAAGAGGAAAGAAAAAAAAAGCCAAUGAGAAAAUCAUGCAUUUUACGGACUGACUGAAAUAAAAGAAAGGUUGCCUUUCCACCCAUGUCUCAGUCUAGGAAAACAGAACCUUUCUUAGGUUCUGUGAGAUGUGGCACAGCAGAGCAGGGACUAUUGUGUCCUUUCCAAAUGGGGUAGCUGGUGGCUGUUACCUGGGACAGUGCUUGGUGCCCAGCAGGUACAUGAUUUUGGGACAUACCCACAAUGAGAACACCUGGAAUGUUAAAGAAAAACUGAAAAUCUUACAGAAAUUUUUAUGCAGUAGUAAUAAUUAUGCCACAGAAUUCUGA